rnacentral:rRNA from 1 species
CCUACGGGUGGCAGCAGUGGGGAAUAUUGGACAAUGGGGGGAACCCUGAUCCAGCCAUGCCGCGUGUGUGAAGAAGGCCCUCGGGUUGUAAAGCACUUUCAGUGAGGAAGAACGCCUGGUGGUUAAUACCCAUCAGGAAAGACAUCACUCACAGAAGAAGCACCGGCUAACUCCGUGCCAGCAGCCGCGGUAAUACGGAGGGUGCGAGCGUUAAUCGGAAUUACUGGGCGUAAAGCGCGCGUAGGUGGCUGGAUAAGCCGGUUGUGAAAGCCCCGGGCUCAACCUGGGAACGGCAUCCGGAACUGUCCAGCUAGAGUGCAGGAGAGGAAGGUAGAAUUCCCGGUGUAGCGGUGAAAUGCGUAGAGAUCGGGAGGAAUACCAGUGGCGAAGGCGGCCUUCUGGACUGACACUGACGCUGAGGUGCGAAAGCGUGGGUAGCAAACAGGAUUAGAUACCCUAGUAGUC